UACGGAGGGGGCUAGCGUUGUUCGGAAUUACUGGGCGUAAAGCGCACGUAGGCGGCUUUGUAAGUUAGAGGUGAAAGCCCGGGGCUCAACUCCGGAACUGCCUUUAAGACUGCAUCGCUAGAAUUGUGGAGAGGUAAGUGGAAUUCCGAGUGUAGAGGUGAAAUUCGUAGAUAUUCGGAAGAACACCAGUGGCGAAGGCGGCUCACUGGACCGGUAUUGACGCUGAGGUGCGAAAGCGUGGGGAGCAAACAGG
rnacentral:rRNA from 1 species